rnacentral:rRNA from 1 species
GCUCAGAUUGAACGCUGGCGGCAGGCUUAACACAUGCAAGUCGAGCGGAGAUGAGGUGCUUGCACCUUAUCUUAGCGGCGGACGGGUGAGUAAUGCUUAGGAAUCUGCCUAUUAGUGGGGGACAACAUUCCGAAAGGAAUGCUAAUACCGCAUACGUCCUACGGGAGAAAGCAGGGGAUCUUCGGACCUUGCGCUAAUAGAUGAGCCUAAGUCGGAUUAGCUAGUUGGUGGGGUAAAGGCCUACCAAGGCGACGAUCUGUAGCGGGUCUGAGAGGAUGAUCCGCCACACUGGGACUGAGACACGGCCCAGACUCCUACGGGAGGCAGCAGUGGGGAAUAUUGGACAAUGGGGGGAACCCUGAUCCAGCCAUGCCGCGUGUGUGAAGAAGGCCUUAUGGUUGUAAAGCACUUUAAGCGAGGAGGAGGCUACUGAGACUAAUACUCUUGGAUAGUGGACGUUACUCGCAGAAUAAGCACCGGCUAACUCUGUGCCAGCAGCCGCGGUAAUACAGAGGGUGCGAGCGUUAAUCGGAUUUACUGGGCGUAAAGCGUGCGUAGGCGGCUUUUUAAGUCGGAUGUGAAAUCCCCGAGCUUAACUUGGGAAUUGCAUUCGAUACUGGGAAGCUAGAGUAUGGGAGAGGAUGGUAGAAUUCCAGGUGUAGCGGUGAAAUGCGUAGAGAUCUGGAGGAAUACCGAUGGCGAAGGCAGCCAUCUGGCCUAAUACUGACGCUGAGGUACGAAAGCAUGGGGAGCAAACAGGAUUAGAUACCCUGGUAGUCCAUGCCGUAAACGAUGUCUACUAGCCGUUGGGGCCUUUGAGGCUUUAGUGGCGCAGCUAACGCGAUAAGUAGACCGCCUGGGGAGUACGGUCGCAAGACUAAAACUCAAAUGAAUUGACGGGGGCCCGCACAAGCGGUGGAGCAUGUGGUUUAAUUCGAUGCAACGCGAAGAACCUUACCUGGCCUUGACAUACUAGAAACUUUCCAGAGAUGGAUUGGUGCCUUCGGGAAUCUAGAUACAGGUGCUGCAUGGCUGUCGUCAGCUCGUGUCGUGAGAUGUUGGGUUAAGUCCCGCAACGAGCGCAACCCUUUUCCUUACUUGCCAGCAUUUCGGAUGGGAACUUUAAGGAUA